AUGAACGCUGGCGGCAUGCCUAACACAUGCAAGUCGCACGAAGGCUUCGGCCUUAGUGGCGCACGGGUGCGUAACGCGUGGGAAUCUGCCCUUGGGUUCGGAAUAACAGUUAGAAAUGACUGCUAAUACCGGAUGAUGUCGUAAGACCAAAGAUUUAUCGCCCAAGGAUGAGCCCGCGUAGGAUUAGCUAGUUGGUGGGGUAAAGGCCUACCAAGGCGACGAUCCUUAGCUGGUCUGAGAGGAUGAUCAGCCACACUGGGACUGAGACACGGCCCAGACUCCUACGGGAGGCAGCAGUGGGGAAUAUUGGACAAUGGGCGAAAGCCUGAUCCAGCAAUGCCGCGUGAGUGAUGAAGGCCUUAGGGUUGUAAAGCUCUUUUACCCGGGAUGAUAAUGACAGUACCGGGAGAAUAAGCUCCGGCUAACUUCGUG
rnacentral:rRNA from 1 species